UGUUUGAAGCCAACAUGUAGUGGAAUACAAGUGUGCCGUGAUAAGGUACUUUUGCUCAUGAACAUAGGAUCUUUUCCCAAUCUCGCAACUUUGUAACCUGCAGCAGCAUGUUGUUAUGACUGUUUCUACUUCUGUUCAGAAGGCAACCCAGCCGAGAAGAUCCCCAUUAAUGUAUGAGCUUGCUCCAGCCUCUCGUAUUUCUACAAAACCUAACCGUGGAGUUGUUCAGUUGAAUAUGUUAAAUUUUCGAUAAUGACUGAGAAGUUGCUGCCCAGAGGACAGAAGUAAGAAGAGACAUUGCCGUACAUCAUAGUUCGUGGAUCUUCAUUUUUGGUCAACAUUCCGGUCAACAUUUGGUCUUGUUGCGGAUGCAGUUUUGACAUACUUUCCUGCCAGAAGCCGUUCUUUAGUGUACAGUCGGAUUGGUUUAAUCCAAAAUCUUUAAAACUAUUUGUAACCUCCUUGAGAUCGCAAGUCGACGGCCAAUGUCUAUAUCUAGUAUCUUUAUGGGAUUGUAUGGUCCUGGCAUUGAGAUCCUUGAGCGUGCGCUGGCCAUGAUAGAAGACUUCCACCAACGUUCUGUUCCAUCCUUAUCCUCGCGACGUCCACUCAUCUAGCUUCAUUUCUUCUUAUGCUGCUACACUACUUUUCUUGCUUCACUGACGAGUUGGAUCCCUUCAGUAGUCGCUUCCGUCCGCUGUGACUGGUAGUCAUUCACCACGGAAUUAUGCAUUGCCCAGGUAAUGCAGAGGAAACGUCGAGAAGGUGGACACCAAGACGUCGCCGGUAUCUCCAAAAUGUCAGCGCGGAUCAUCAUUUGUUGUUGGUAAUA